CCACCCAGGCGCCCCUACCAACAGAAAAAUUUUAGGUGAGGGCUGAGAAAAGUUGAAGGCGAGUCCUCAAAAUUCCACGACCUGCUGGGAUUUAUUCUGACUGCAGUCGCGUAUGUGCUUGUCCCCAGCUCCACCCCCACCUGUUCCAGGGAAGGACAUUGACUCUCGUCCUGGUGAUCUCCCCAUCAUGCCCAUCCAAGCUCUCCUUGGGAUCUGUUCCUGAGAAAUCCUACAUGUACAUAAAGCUCUUCUACUGCAUAACAAAAUACUACGAUUGUCUCAUGAAAACCACCCAUGUGAUUGUUUGCACCGUGAGUUGAGCCAGUGACUUUUUUCAUAGAAUACCAUUUUGACUGAAAAGAAUGACUGACUGGCAGACUGUGGUUAUUCAGACUUGGUAUG